GAGCGCUCUCCUUCGCCACGGCCAGCUGGGCUGUUCAAGAGAAAAAAAAGAACAGUGAGAAAAAUGAAAGGGUUGAUCCUUUGUGUUUAUUGUUUGGUUUUAGGGUUAAGAACGAAGAGCCAGGAGUGCAAAGUUGGCUCGGAGGAGAAAAUCUGCCAGUGCGGCCUUAGGAGAUUCGAUUUGCAGACUUAUUUUAAGGGGAAUUGGUACGAGGCGUUCCUUUAUUGCAGGUACAACGGUAUGAUCUUGGCGUCGAUAACAUCUCCGUUGGAUGAAACCAGACUCAAGGAUGACCUCGCGUGCUACAAAGAGGAUUUCUGGAUCGGAUGCCAUGGGCACGGUUCCAGAUGGACUUGGUCGGGAAACGGUGCAGCGGUGCGGUACAGCAGGUUGAAAACGGGCCGAGGGGAAUGCUGCCUUUUUAACUCGACGACAUUCUACUGGGAGAUGUCAAACUGCCGUACAAAAGCGUAUUUUGUUUGUAUGAUAUAAAAAAAAACCACUUACAUAUCAGGACCAGCGAGAGGAUGGCGCAACGUACCAUGACUGACUGCGGAUUUCACGCCAAUCCCGCCACCCGAUUUUGUCCCACUAGGAAAACAAUGCCGCGACGAGUUAAAGGAAUAAAAUCAGUUCUGAACGGAUUCGCGUUUUAUUGUCAAAUCACCUUUUGGGUAUUCAUAGCUGGGACGUCCGAGGGACAGGACACGUGCCACGUCGAGGAUGGCCGCUUACCCAGCAGUUUGACCUUAAACGACAUGCGAUACGUGCUAGUCUUGAAAAAACUAUGGACUACUGCAGGCUCAUUGGCAUGGAUCUCCUCUGGUUCAGGAAGGAAGACGAGAUGAAACAAUUCUUUUCAUCUCUAAACAAAAUGUCCGAGGUAGCCUGGAGUAUUGGAGUUCGGCGAGCGAUCUUGCCUCGGAAGGAAGGUGGCACUGGUUUGGCUCCGGAGCCCCAGUCCUCCAUUUUCGAAUUUCAGGGACUGGGUGUGCGACGGUGACCGCCAACCGGAGCCUGUCUGCAGAGGACUGCCGAACCGGCCACUACUUCGUCUGCAACGCGUUCCGAUCUUCUGAAGACACCGAGACGACCUGCCUUUGACGAUUAUUUCAAAAUAACUGUAUUUAACAAAAAGAUA
rnacentral:misc_RNA from 1 species